rnacentral:lncRNA from 1 species
CAAAAUAUAUGAUGUCUGUUUAAUAAGGGUGAUUCCAUUAUAAUGAAUAUGUGAGGUUAGGAUGGGAAGAUUUAUUUUUGGACAGUUCCAUUAUUUUUGAAGGUUUAUAUUACAAUUUACUAAAAUGAGAGUGAAUUGGCUGUAUAGAGGAUUUCACUCCCAUCUUACUCUCCCACAUUCUUUUGAAUGGAAUAACCCUAAAGUCAAACAAAAACAUUAAUAAUUUUAAACUGAAAAUUUCAAACAGGCAAAUUAUUUGGUGUUUAAUAAAGAAAAAGUAAUUCUUUUUGGCAAAAUUUUAAUUUCAAGUCAAUUUUUAACAAGUAGCUUUCUUGAUUAGAAUUUUAUUGAAACAAAAUCACUUAUGGAAUGGAAAUGAAUAACACAUGAUGUUUUGUCAUUUGACAAUCAAAACAGGUCUAUUAUUAAAACAUGCGUUACACUUUGUUUUCCAAAUGAACUUGAGUAAAAGUAAAUAUGAAACAAAAUUUAAGUGGGGAAUGUUAGAUUAUUAACAUUACUAAUUAAUGUCUAGAGUAAAUGUUAUUAAUAACUGCAGUCUGAGUCUUGAAAUUAGGCAAGAAUAAUUUAUUUAUUAUAUAUCAUACAUUUAAAUCAAAUAAUCAUGCUUAAAUGCUUGUGUACAUGGCUAACAUGCCCUCACUUAUAAACUACAUUUGUACAUAUGAAUAUACUAACAUAAAUCUUGUACAAGUUAACCAUUGAAUGUCUUAAUAGCUGUAAAAUUUAUAUUAUAUUAUUUAAUUCAAUCAUUAUCUACAUAAAACAUUUCAUUUUCACACAUUCAUAUUUAUAAAUAAUAUGCAAACUUUAUAUUGUCGAAUGUUAUGUUUGGAAGCAUAAUAAAUAUUUAGCUACCUCAAGACAGUUGAAAUUGAUUUUCUAUAAAUAACAUUUUCAAUGUAUGUUUAAUUUUUUACAGUCCAAACAGACCGUAUAUUCCCUAUUAAUCCCAAAUAUGAUACUCAUUUGAUGAAGAAAUAUCUGUUCUUGCAUAUAUAUUUACCAGAGAAUCAUUUGUUAAUUAUCUCCCUUUAAUAGGUUGUGUUUGAGCUAACUCCCUUGAGAACAUGGAGCAUUAUAAUUUUCAGUGCUCAACAUAUUCCCUGACCAGAGGCUUUAGUGGGUCCAUCAUUAAAUAUUUAGGAUCAGUAUAAGUCCAAUAUAUCAACCUUUCACCUUUUUUCUUUGGGUUUUUAAACUUCUAUGAUUGGAAAAAUCACAAAAUAUUUUUGAGAGAUCAUCACAGAGAAAAAAGUUUGAGUUUCAUUGAUAUUUAAUCACUGUUAAUUCAUAUAAAAUUACAUUUUUUUUAAUCAAGUAAUGUACAAAUAAAUUUAACACAGUGCACUUAAAAACUUAUGUUUUCAAUUAUAUUGAUUGUUGCAAGUGAAGAAGGACCAAAGAGUACAACAACCUCCUCUUUGAAGAAAAAACAAAAGGGAGAUUAUAACUUUUAUAUGUAGCAUAUUUAAAGGAUGAUAACUGACCAAUGUAUCUCACAAUGAAACACAAAAAUUAGAUUAGAAACUACUGUCAAAUACACCAGCCUUUUAAAAACAAAUUCACAUCAGAUUUUUUCCAUCAUAAAAAAAGUCAACUUUUUAUCUGAACACUUGGUCAUUACCACAUGUAUCAUAACAUUAUAGAGCUUUUGCUGAAGACUUAAGUUUGAUUUCACAAUGUUACAGCAAUUUAGGUUUUAAGAAAUUUCUCAGUUCCCUUAAGGGCCAAAAAUGCCAUUGCACAAUGAAGAGCAAAGUAAAGUUAUGAGUUUUAAAAUGGAAUUUUUACAUUCAUCCCAUUAACAUUACAACUAUGAAUUAUAUUUAAAAAACUGAAAGGAAGUCAUUUUAAAUGCAUUUUGCGUAAUACUUCCGAAGUACUCCAAUGUUUAAAUUGUACUUCUCCUUGCUCAAGCUGGGCAGGGAAUUUUUCUGCCCUUUGAGGAAUCAGUAGAGACUGUAUUUCACUUUGUGAUCACUUUUUCAUCAAAUGCUCUAUACAUAUAUUAAAGAUGAGUUUGUUGCUUUACCAAAAUAUUUUAUAUUGAUCAAAAUGUAGAACAUACUUAAUUUUAUAGCCUGGCAGCUUGUUGAAAAUUAUUUUGCUUAGCAGAGUUAUUUGACAAAUAAUUUUAUAUAGAAUUUAAAAGAAAUGCCAAAUGAAAUUUAAUGGGUACUCACUGUUUUAUUACCGUUUCCACUUUCUACAGUAUCAAGGCUCAGUGAAAAUGAAUUUGUAUAGGUAUUCAUCAUAUUAUACCCUUUAAACCAGACCUUUUUUCUCAGAGUUUGGGCAAGAACCGUACAGAUCUGUAAUAUCUAAAUUUGGACAAGAACCGUACAGUCCUGUAAUAUCUAAAUUUGGACAAGAACCUUACAGUCCUGUAAUAUCUAAAUUUGGACAAGAACCUUACAGUCCUGUAAAAUCUAAAUUUGGAC